rnacentral:rRNA from 1 species
CCCUUUGAUCAGAUUACCACCAUGAACAUGCCUGAUCUUGUCUCAUCUCGGAAGCUAAGCAGGGUCAGGCCUGGUUAGUACUUGGAUGGGAGAUGACCUGGGAAUACUGGGUGAUGUAGGCA